rnacentral:rRNA from 1 species
GAGGAAGGUGGGGACGAGGUCAAGUCAUCAUGCCCCUUACGUCUAGGGCUGCACACAUGCUACAAUGGGCGGUACAGAGGGCUGCUAAACCGCGAGGUGGAGCCAAUCCCUAAAGCCGCUCUCAGUUCAGAUUGCAGGCUGCAACUCGCCUGCAUGAAGUUGGAGUUGCUAGUAAUCCCGGAUCAGCACUGCCGGGGUGAAUACGUUCCCGGGCCUUGUACACACCGCCCGUCAAACCACGAAAGUUGGCAACACCCGAAGCCGGUGGCCUAACCGUAAGGAAGGAGCCGUCGAAGGUGGGGUCGGUGAUUGGGGUUAAGUCG